rnacentral:lncRNA from 1 species
GUUUCUGCCUGUGUGUCCCUGGGUGUCUGCAUCUGCGUGGCAGCAGCCCAGCAUGAGGCUGAGGGUGAGGGAGGCAUGCCCGGGCAUGUCUGCUGGGGCAGGCUGGCCAGGUUCCUGAGAAGACCAAGGAGAUCCUUGGGAGAGGAAAGCCCUUCUCCUUCAGUGGUCAGCUAACUACUCCUCCAUGAAGCCAUCCCUGAUUCCUACUCCAGCCCCCAAGGAAGAGCUGCAGGAAACAGAAAAUGCACUGCCUAGAUGGACCCUCUGACUCCCCACCACCCAGGCUGGAGCGGCAGAGGCUGCCAGGAAGAGCCAGAAAACAGGUCACUGACCAGCUAAUACAGGCCAAGGCUGCUGGGAGGCCAGGAAUAUGGCCAUGAGGAGCACAGCACGAUGUUCCCUCUAUCACGUGUGCAUAUUCUAGUGGAGGAAGACUGACAGUAAGUAGGUAAAUAUAUGUACAUCAGGUGGUGGCAAGGGCUAUGGAAAAAAUGAGCAAGAGAGGGGCAUAGAAAGUGGUAGGAUGGAAGGGAGAUAGGGUGGGCAGGGAGGGCCAGAUAGAAUGCAGUUUGAGCCACUUAGAUCUCUGAAGGAAGGAAGAACAUUCCAGGGAUAGGGACCAGGAGGACACAGGUGCCAGGACAGGAGCAUACUGGGCAUUUUCAAGGACAGGAUGGAACCCAAUGUGGCUGGUGUGGAGUGAGAGGUGGGGAAGGGAUAGGAGCGGGAAUGUGGAGGGAAGAUGGCCUGGGGUCCUGUGGGCAUUAGCCGGGCUCACAGGGGAGCUCUUGGAGGGUUAUGAGCGAGAAGUGAGCUGCUCCGUGCAUUCCAAGGAUCCCUCUAGGAGACCUGAGAUACCUCCUUGCCCUGUUCUGCAGCUGCGCUGGCUGCAAGGUACAGAUUUGGCCCUCAGCUAAAUUGCAAGGAAGACAGAGGAAGAGAGAGGAAGGUUCCAUUCUCCUGUUUCUUGCCCAUUUCUCCUCAUCAGUGGAACCCUGCCUGUGCAUGGUCUUCUUUAUUUGCACACAGCUCCCUGCCCUCCCCAAUACCUUACCAAUGAUUUACGCUUUAGUAAAAUCAAGGCUAUGCAUUCCAUGACCCCUUCUCCAAAGUGAUGAAUUAUGUCUCCAGAAAAGAUAUGUUGAAGUCCUAACCCCCAACUACUGCAGAAUAUGACCUUAUUUGGAAAUACGGUCAUUGUAGAUGAAUUAGUUAAGAUGAAAUCACGCUGGAGUAGGAUGGGCCCUUAAUCCCAUAUGAAUGAUGUCCUUUUAAGAAGAUAAUGUGGGCCGGGUGUGGUGGCUCAUGCCUGUAAUCCCAGCACUUUGGGAGGCGGGUGGAUCACCUGAGGUCAGGAGUUCAAGACCAGCCUGGCCAACAUGAUGAAACCCCAUUUCCACUAAAAAUACAAAAAUUAUCUGAGCGUGGUGAUGGGCACCUGUAAUCCCAGCUACUCAGGAGGCUGAGGCAAGAGAAUCACUUGAACCCAGGAGGCAGAGGUUGCAGUGAGCUGAGAUGGCGCCACUGCACUCCAGUCUGGGUGACAGAGUGAAAAUCCCUCUCAAAAAAAAAAAAAAAAAAAAAAGCUGAUGUGAGAUACAAGGGAGGAAGGCCAUGUGAAUAUGGAGGUGGAGGUGGGAUUAGGCAGCUGCAUGCCAAGAACAAGGCCAAGGAUUGCUGGAAACCACUGUGAGCUGGAAGAGGCAGGGAAGGACUCUUCCCCAGAGCCUCCCGAGGGAGCGUGGCCCUGCUGACUCCUGGAUUUCAGGCUUCUGGCCUCCAGAAUAAUGAGAAAAUGAAUUUCUGUUGCUUUAAGCCACCUGGUUUGUGGUACUUUGUUAUGGCAGCCUUGGAAACGAGUCCCAGGGAUGUUUCUUAGGGUCUGAUUUCUAAUCAUAAAAUUUGAGAUUUUAUCCCAUUCAAAGAAAUAUCCGAAGUCUUAUUAGCCUACUAGUCAGCCUUUACCUGAGGACAAAAGUGCUUUGUUUUGGGGGAAUCCUGGGGCUGUAUGGGAAUUCCAAAGGGCACAUUUGGCUCAAUGGCCUGGAUGUCUUACCUUUGGGAAGCAGGGAGCUGGGAGGAGCCUAGCUGGACCCCUGCCGCUCUGCUGGAUGGGUUUGGCUCAGGGUGUGGAUAUUGGUUAGGUGUGGAUACAAAGGCUUGGUCCUUGCUGUGGCAGAGAAGGUUGAUAAAGGGGCCUGGGGAAAAUUAAAUUAGAUGCUGAACUUUGCCUUUUAUUCAUUUGCCUGAAGAUUAAGCUGUCCACAGGUUAAUCUGCAGGUCCGUUCACAGGCCAGGGACACAAAAUGAUCAAGACAGAGUCCCCUUCAAACAAACACCACACAUGUAUGUUCACUGUGGCAUCAUUCACAAUAGCAGAAGGUGCAGACAACCCAAAUGUCCCUCAGUGGAUGAAUGGAGAAACAAAACAUGGCACACCCACACAAUGGAAUGCUCUUCAGCCAUAGAUGGAAUGAAGUACUGCCCCACGCUACAGCAUGGACCAACCUCGAAGACAUCAUGCUGCGUGAAAGAAGUCAGCCAGAAAAGGCCAUAUACUGUAUGAUUCCUUUCAUGUAAUAUACCCAGAAUAGGCAAAGCCACAGAGACAGAAGGCAGAGUGGUGAUUGUCAGGGCUUGGAGGAGGGAGAAAUGGGGAGUGGCUGCUUAAUGGGUAUGGGUUUCCUUUAGGGUGGUGAAAGUGUUCUGGAACUAGGUAGUGGUGAUGGUUGUCUAACACUGGGAAUGUGCUAAAUGUCACUGAAUUGUGCAAUUGAAAGUGGUAAAUUUUAUGUAAUUUUACUACAAUUUUAAAAAAACAACAGAGUGAGAGAAGACAAUCAACAGAGAAAUAGAUAUUUAACAUAUACACUAUGAAGACCAAGAAGAUGGGCUAAGGAGGCAGAGAGUGAUGACGAGGGUGCUAUUUUAUGGGGUGGUCAAGGCUGGCCUUUCUGAGGAGGAUGUGUGGGGAGAGCCAGGCACAUGGCUGGGAGGAGACCCUUCCAGGAUGUGGAGGAGGAGCAGCAAAGGCCUGGGGCAGAAGUGAGAAGGAGUGCUGGGGAACCAGCAAGAGGCUACCGGGACUGCAGCUGCAGUGGGAGGGGGUGGUGAAGGGAUGGGGUGGGGGGGCAGCGGGCAGAAGAGGCCAAGUGCCUGCAACCACUGUCAGGGGUGGGAGCAGAGUAGUGGAGGGAGGGGCGAGUGUGGAAGCAGGAAUUCAGCCAGGAGGCCGUUGCAGACAGGGAUCUGUUUCUGAAGAUCCAUCAAGACCGGAGACUAAACACUUGCUUCUUGCUUUGGCUGUGCUGCUAUUAAUUAGAGCUCUGCAAACGGCCUCUCUCCUGUCCUCAAUUCCAGUGCUGCAGAGUCAUGAUUAAGCAGAUCUGUCACUAAGUGAGGAUUUUGUUGUGCUUUUUGAAUGCAGUGCCUAGGUAUGUUCAUUUAUUUUUCUUUCAAGUUUGUAUUGAACGACGUAUUAUAUCUCACAUGGUAUGUCUCCUGUGCCCCACUGCCUGGGGCUCCCUGUCCCUCUCCACUUGCUUUCUUUUUUCCCAUUGCACUUACUUAUCACUACCCAACACAUUGGACAUGCAUUUGGCAUGCUUGGUUUUAUGUGUCAAACUUGGCUAAGCUAUAAGAUCCAGUUAUUUUUUUUUAUUUUUUCAUUUUUAUUUUUGAGAUGGAGUCUCGCUUUGUGGCCCAGGCUAGUGUGCAGUGGCGCGAUAUCGGCUCACUGCAAGCUCUGCCUCCUGGGUUCACGCCAUUCUCCUGCCUCAGCCUCCUGAGUAGCUGGGACUACAGGCGCCCGCCACCAUGCUUGGCUAAUUUUUUUAUUUUUUAUUUUUUAGUAGAGACGGGGUUUCACUGUGUUAGCCAGGAUGGUCUCGAUCUCCUGACCUUGUGAUCUGCCCGCCUUUGCCUCCCAAAGUGCUGGAAUUACAGGUGGGAGCCACCGCGCCCAGGCAAGACCCAGUUAUUGAAGCAAACACUAACCUAGUGUUGCUGUGAAGGUAUUUUAUAGAUAUGGUAAACAAGAUCAGUUGUCUUUAAGUAAAGGAGAUUACCCUUGAUAUCUUGGUGGGCCUCAUCUAAUCAGUGGAGAGGUUUGAAGAGGAAAACCGACGUUUCCCUAUGCAAGAAGAAAUUCUGCCCCAAGACUGCAGCAUCAGUUCCUGCAUGAGUUUCCAGCCUGCUAGCCUGCUCCACAGAUCUCAGACUUGCCAGCCUCCACAACUGUAUGAGCCAAUUCCUGAAAUAAAUUCCUUUAUACAUAUAUGUAAUAUGUACACAUACACACAUCUAUGUCAUCUAGAUUUAGAGCUAAUCUAGCUCCUCCUGGCUCUGUUUGUCUGGAGAACCCCGACUGAUACUGAUGUGUUUAUUUGCUUAUCAUCCUCCCUACCCCAGACGGAGGCUCUCUAAGGGGAAGAUCUUUUGUCUGUUUCCUUCAUGCUGUGUCUGAAGUGACCAGGACAGCAGCCGGCAAUAGGACGUGCUCAGUCGAUAUUGUACAAUGGAUCUUCAUAAUUCUUGCUUAUUUGUGUGGUUGUUAUCUGUCUGAAAUUCAAGAAAGAAGGACAUGAGAAAAGAAAAGGAUGAAAGCACACUGGUCUUAUCUGAGGCUGGGGAUUUCCCCGUUGGGCCCAGUGUUGUGGAUUCUGCAGUUGAGUUGUGUCUGUUUGCAGCUGAAAGAAAGCUGUGGCAGUGAGGAGAGGUUGCAAAUUUAGAAUCAAGUUCAAGUUCUCCUAGCAACAUGCACACCCCCGCUGCUGGCUGGUGUAAUCCAAGCACCAAACACGUGCAGCUGGGGCAGUGCGUGUUGCUAGGAGAACAAUGACUCUCUUGCUUCCAGAGCUGGUAGGUGACUGCGGUAUUACCAGGGGCGCACAAAGUGGGUGUUGCCCUUUGUUUCCCAAGUAAUUGUUUUAAAGCAAGGUGAGGAGGAGCCUGGGGAAGGGUAGAAUGAGAGAAAGCAUGAACCCUGAUUUGUGUUUGUUUGUUUAGGAACUAGAGGUUAGUGAAAAGCCUCUUGUUUCAGAAUGUGUCCCAAAUGGGUUUACAAUUAGUGACAGAGUCUGUAGGAGCUUAUGAAACAACCAAUUCCCCACACUGUUUGGCUCUCAGCAUCCACAGACCAUCUGGAUCAGCUGAGCAUGAAGUGUGGGGGCGUGCAUUGGGGGUGGGGUCCAGAAACAAAAAAGAUCAAGCUGGCAUCGGUUGGGGCGGGAGAGGGAUUUGGGUUUUCAGAUUUCCUUUCGCUUAAUUACAUUCGCAGGCUGUCCUGAUCCUCAUUCCCCUUCCCCAUUGUUUCUGCCCUGUCAGCGGGGUUGACUGGCUGAAAACAGACCACCCGGGCAGCCAGAAGAACUGUGCCUGUCCCGGCAGCCCUGACUCUGGACAGGUGGUGUGGGGUGGUGUGAGGUGGUUGGGGGACGGGAGAACAGGGAAGCAGGGCCAAGGACAGUAAUAUCCCUGGCCACUCUUCAUAUAUGUAGUCACCAAUGCUCAAAGUCCUCCAUGCCCCCACUUCCAUCCUGCAAAGGAGGAAGCUGAGCUGCCAAGGAGUGGCAGAGCUGAGAGCAGCACCAGCUCCGUCUCUCCCGAAGACCACCUUCUUUCUCCCAUGUCUGCCUGCAGGAUUUGAUGAUGAGACAUCGUCUGCUACAGGAUUUGCAGGGAAACAUGGAGUAUCACUUUGGGCCUAUUUUCUAAGAGAAUGGCCUGAAGAGAAUAGAUUCAAGUUUUCUCCCAGAAAAGCCUCUGCUUCAGGAGCAGGUAGCAGAAAAAAUACAAUAUGUUCAUCAAACAGGUUUGAUUCCCCUCCUGGACACAUGGAAAGGCUAUCUUUUUUUUUUUUUUUUUUUUUUUUUUUUUUUUUUUUAAGACGGAGGCUCGCUCAGCCACUCAGGCUGGAGUACAGUGGCAUGAUCUCAGCUCACUGCACCCACUGUCUCCUGGGUUCAAGCGAUUCUCCCGUCUCAGCCUCCCAGGUAGCUGGGAUUAUAGGCACCUGCCAUCAUGCCUGGCUAAUUUUUGUAUUUUAGUAGAGACAGGGUUUCACCAUGUUGGCCAGGCUUGUCUUAAACUCCUGAACUCUGCCCGCCUUGGCCUCCCAAAGUGCUAGGAUUACAGGCGUGAGCCACUGCACCCGGCUGGAAAGGCUAUCUUUCUGAGCUUCCACUACUGUAAGGUGGAGUCAUAGUGUUAGAGUAGGUAGCUAAGCAGACAUGAGCAGGACAGGAGAGGACUCCCCACCCCCCCCCCGCCCACAGGAAUGUCAGGCAACCAUCAGGUGAUGGUCAGGCAGUUGUUAACUGUCAGUCUAAAAUAAUAAUAGGGCAUAGCUGGCACCAAGGAAAGGAAGACUCCUAAUAGAAAACACCUGAAGCUGGUGAGCAGCCGCUUCCUGGUAAGAUCUCAGGAGCUGGGCAAGUGGGCUCUAGCCUGGGCACUAAGAGGCAAAAUGACAGAGUUUAACCUGUAUAUGACCUUCCUCUAGGAACACUCUACUGGUAAGGGGAGAAAUGCCUCAAAUGAGCAUGUGCACAACUUCAGUAAACAUGCUGUGCAUGUGGCCCCUCCCAAGUGCCCGCAGGCCACCACACAAGUGGACAGCCCUGGACAGCCCGCCCCUAGGGAAGAAUCAAGGGAGGAGAAACAGAAGCCCUGGAACUGUGCUAGCAUAUAAAACCCCAAGUCAAGGGCUGAAUGGCACACUUGGAUCUCUCAAGUCACCUGCUUGGCCCCCUUCCAAGUGUAUUUACUUCCAUUUGUUCCUGCUCUAAAACUUUUUAAUAAACUUUCACUCCUGCUCUAAAACUUGCCUCGGUCUCUCCCUCUGCCUUAAAACUACUUCUGCCCCCGCAGCCGAAUUCUUUCCUCUGAGAGGGCAAGAAUCAAGUUGCUGCGCACCCCUGCAGAUUCACUGCUGCUAACAAUGGGGCUGGUUUUCUGGCCUGUGGAACGUGGGCUAAAGGGAUGAGCAGCCCUGCCUGGCUCGGUCCUAAAACCUGCCAUACCAUCCUCCCCCUGUUUUCUUCCCGUCUGCUUGUUGGAUGCAGGGGACCCAGGGUGGUACUCCAAGGCCCUGAAAGACAGUGGAGCUACUUGGGAGGAGCCCAGGUCCCGAAUGCCUUAGUGGAGCAGAAUGUCUGCUACACUCAACUCGUAUUGGACUCUGAAGGCAAAACUCACCUUUGUUGUGUUGAGCCACUAAGUUUUGGGGGACAUCUGAAACAGGCUGUGCUGAUUAAUACGGAGCGGCCAGGAGGGCAUGGGAAAUGAUCAGUUUUGUGGGCUGGGGGAGAGGCAGUGGGAUUUGGUGGAAGUGUUUCCAUGAGGGGGCAGAGAAGAGCCUCCUGGAGAUAGAAAGGUGAAGUGGAAAGUGCUAUCCUAAAUUGAGAAAAGGGAGCCAGUGUGUGUGCACCCUCUUAUAUUUGUAAAUUAGAGUUAACACUUCUGGUGGGGCCCUCUGUAAACUGUAAAUACGGAUAAUAAUGAAGGUUUGUAUUGCAUACACACUUUUCUAAGUGCUUCAGAUGGAUGAUCUCAUUUAACCUUCAUAACAUCCCGGUGAGGUAGGAACUAUUAAUAUCAGCCUCAUUUUAGAGGUGAGAAAACAGAGAUGAAGCACUUUCCCCACCACCACCAGAAAGUAAGUGGCACAGCCAGGAUGGAGUUGAGGUAUCCAGGCUCUUGAACCUGCCUCUUAACCAUGAUGUCUCUCUCUCUAUGGACUGCACACUAACACCUUUCUAAUCAGGAUGAAGAAUUCUGCUGUUAUACCUGGUGGUCUGAAAUAAAGCAGAAAUUUGGCUGGCUCAAGUGUUCCAGGUUGCUCAAGAAGCCAUGCAAUUCAAUCCUCUCUGAAACGGUGCUGUAUAUUCCUGGAAGCAUCCUAGAGGGAACAGGGAGCGCUGGGCUGAUGGGGGAAAAUGAGGGUCGAGAAUGGGAGAGGCCAGCCUGCAUUAUUUGUAGGCUCAGAGGAAGGGUCCUGAGUGGAGGACUAAAGGAGCCACUGUGGCUAGACCGGUGCUCUUCUGACCCUGGUGCCACCCAGGAGUGCGUCUCACUGCUGGGGCUGGCCAGCCCUGGCACAUCUGGCGAAAGGACUGUUGGUGGGAAGAGACCUCAGCCACCCUCUCUAGACUGUGUCCUAAGAAGGAGGAUGGGUCCGAAGGUGGGAAACGUAUCCUAUACAUCUUUUUUUUUGAGAUGGAGUUUCGCUCUUCUUGCCCAGGAUGGAGUGCAAUGGCAUGAUCUUGGCUCACUGCAACCUCCGCUUCCCGGGUUCAAGCGAUUCUCCUGCCUCGGCCUCUCAAGUAGCUGGGAUUGCAGGUGUGCACGAGCACACCCAGCUAGUUUUUGUAUUUUUAGUAGAGAUGAGAUUUCACCAUGUUGGCCAGGCUGGUCUCAAACUCCUGACCUCAGGUGAUCCAUCCACCUUGGCCUCCCAAAGUGCCGGGAUUACAGGUGUAAGCCACCACACCCGGCCUCCUAUACAUCUUUGUAUCUUAUACAAGAGAGGUUUGAAUCCGCAAAGCAAAUCCUUAGCAAGGGCCUACUAUGUUCCAGGAGAUGUACUAGAUACUGUGAUAGUGAACCAUGGCACGGCCCCUUCCUCAUGGAGCUUUCAGUCUAGAAUCUUCAUCGGAGGAGGAGCUGAAGGUCAUAGGCACUAUAGGGGUGGGGCUGGGAUGGCAAAAGGGCUCAGAAGUUCAGAAACCUCCAAAGCUAAGUCAUACAGUUUGACUGGGAUGGGGUUGUUUACUUGCAAGUGUUUUCUGACAGCUGGAAGCUGUUCCUAAUGGCAAUUUGUCCACAAGAACUUAUACACUGCAUUUUAGAGUUGUGGGAGAGUGAAGGAGCCCUCACCUGGGCUGGCUUCCACCAGGGAGCCAUAAGGGGAGCUCUUGAGUGGGGAUUUGGAUAACCCUUUUUUAGGACCAGCAGAAAUGAUGCCCAGAAUAGGGUCUUUCCAUUUUCAAUGUCGCUUUGCAUGAAGAUCUACUUGAGAGGCUGAGACAGGAGAAUCACUUGAACCCGGGAGGCAGAGGUUGCAGUGAGCCAAGAUCAUUUGGGAUCAAUUAAGUCUACCUUUAAUUUUCUCAGUGCCACAGGCACUCAGAUGGAGCUGAAACCUUGCAUUGAAUUAGGAAGAGAAGAAAAAUCAUUGGUGGGUCUAGAGCCUGCAGACAUGAUUUGCUGCUGGGACACUGCAUGCAGGCAGCUGCGCUUUUCCCCAGUCUCUCUUGCUUCCUUGGACAGCAGCUUUUGGUAGUGUAAGUGUUGGAUGCCCAGCUGAUGUUUGGCCUUAGGGUGCAGGCAGACUUGGUGUCCUCAUUCCUUCAACAGAUGUGCUCUAAGUGGGAACAGCCUCCCUGUGCCAGGGAUGUGUCUGUCCCCUAUUCAUGCAAAAGCAGUGCUGGGAGUGCAGAGGCAAUGCGGAUGGGAGCUUGCUCAUUUUCUUCAUAUUUCCUUUAGGCUCCGAGACCCCCACGCACUCUCCACAUCAGGUUUAAUGCAACUCACAUGAACUUACAGAUGAGCAGGGCAGAAUUCCAAAAAUAUCCCUCUGCGGUCACCUCUCCUGAACUCCAGCCCUCUGUUCCUAGUUGCUUUCUGGAUGUCCUGCAACACAUCCCAAUCAUUAUGUCCUCCUUUUACUCCACCACCAUUUAUUUAGAGUCUUCUCUGUGCCAGGCCUUGCUAGUGUGAAGAAUAAAGAGUCAAAGAAGAGUUAGCCCUGCAUCAGUUCAAAUGGCCACCUCCUUCCUCCACCGGACCAAGCAUUCCUUGCUCCACAGCGAGUUCUCAGCACCUGGGAGUUAGAACAUAGUAGGUGCUCAAUAAAUAUUGUUGCAUACAUGUUGGAUAAACUAAACACCUGUCUUCAAAAGGCUUUGGGAAGAUUAGGGAAACAGAAGUGAACCAGUAACUGCAGUUCACCUAGCACAAGUGUUAGGAUGGAGGUGAGUAAGAAGCUGUACUGGGGAAGAAGAAGGGCAUUUGACUAAGUCUGACUGUGGGACUCAGGGGCUGCUUCCAGGAGGAGGCAAUGCUGGAGCUGAGAAUUGAAGAAUAAGUGAGAGACAGCCUGGUGAGGAAGGGGAUGGGAGUUGGGGGAAGGAUAUUCCAGCUCUUGACAAUAGCAGCCCAGGGACACCACUGCAGGUGUAUUCUGGGAGCAGUGGUAGUAGGUGAGGUGGAGAGGUCCAGGGCAGGUGGCCAGGCUCAUCUUUCUGCAAACCAGCGCCACCUUCCCCAUCUUCCCAGGUUCUCUGGUGGGCACCCUCAUUGUCCUGGAGCCGUUAGAGCAAUCCUCCACAGUCCAGCUUGUCUCUUCCUUGGGAUGAAGCCCUCCAGGUUCCAUGCUCACUCCAGCUGGGGCCUCUGGUCUAGCACCACCACUCCACCCUCACGUUCUGCUUGCCUGGGUUGCUGUCUCUGUCUCCUAACUGGUCCUCCCACCCCUUGUUUGGCUCCAAUUUAUCCUGCACACUUCUGCCAGAGUCAUCCUUUUAGCGCUCAGAUCCUUCCUCUGCUCAAUAGAUUUCAGCGGCUCCCAGGUAUCUACUAAAUUAGGUGAAAACUUCUUCUUUUUUUUUUUAAGAGAUGGGGUCUCAUUGUCACCCAGCCUGAAGUGCAGUGUCACAAUCACAGCUCACUGUAACCUUGAACUCCUGGGUUUGUUACAUAGAUAUACAUGUGUCAUGGUGGUUUGCUGCACCCAUCAACCCAUCAUCUACAUUAGGUAUUUCUCCUAAUCUAUCUCUCCCCUUGCCCCCUACCCCCCGACAGGCCCUGGUGUGUAACGUUCCCCUCCCUGUGUCCACGUGUUCUCAUUGUUCAACUCCCAUGUAUGAGUGAGAACAUGUGGUGUUUGGUUUCCUGUUCCUCUGUUAGUUUGCUGAGAAUGAUGGUUUCCAGCUUCAUCCAUGUCCCUGCAAAGGACAUGAACUCAUUCUUUUUUAUGGCUGCAUAGUAUUUCAUGGUAUAUAUAUGCCACAUUUUCUUUAACCCAGUCUAUCAUUGAUGGGCAUUUGGGUUGGUUCCAAGUCUUUGCUAUUGUGAAUAGUGCUGCAGUAAACAUACGUGUGCAUGUGUCUUUAUAUAGUAGAAUGAUUUAUAAUCCUUUGGGAAUAUACCUAGUAAUGGGAUUGCUGGUUCAAAUGGUAUUUCUGACUCUAGAUCCUUGAGGAAUCGCCACACUGUCUUCCACAAUCGAACUAAUUUACACUCCCACCAACAGUGUAAAAGUGUUCCUAUUUCUCCACAUCCUCUCCAGCAUCUGUUUUUUCCUGACUUUUUAAUGAUUGCCAUUCUAACUGGUGUGAGAUGGUGUCUCAUUGUGGUUUUGAUUUGCAUUUCUCUAAUGACCAGUGAUGAUGAGCUUUUUUUCAUGUUUGUUGGCUGCAUAAAUGUCUUCUUUUGAGAAGUGUCUGUUCAUAUCCUUUGCCCACUUUUUGAUGGGGUUGUUUGUUUUUUCCUUGAAAAUUUGUUUAAGUUCCUUGUAGAUUCUGGAUAUUAGCCCUUUGUCAGAUGGAUAGAUUGCAAAAGUUUUCUCCCAUUCUGUAGGCUGCCUGUUCACUCUGAUGAUAGUUACUUUUGCUGUGCAGAAGCUCUUUAGUUUAAUUAGAUCCCAUUUGUCAAUUUUGCCUCCAAAUUUCUAUGGAAUCCUAUGUGUCUUUCAAGGCCAGUGUUAAACUCUGCUGUCUCUGUGAAGCCUUUCCCAACUCCCUGAUGAAAUCAUAUUCUAGCUCUUCCCUCCUCCCUCAGCACUGCGCUAGCCUCCCUGUUGAGCUGGAGGGUGAUGGCUCCUUAUCAAAGCUAUUGGCAGUACUGAGGUGCUAAGCCAUGUGUAAGGGCUAGGGCAUCCAGGCAGACCUAGACUCUAGCAACCACUGCCUGCAAAGUCCCAAAGGGAGCCCUAGAGGAAGAACAGAGGAGGAAGCAGAAUCACCUUUACUCGUAGCUGGGCUUGGACCAUAAACCCCAUGCAGUGAACUGGGGUUAGCUGGGCUGAGUAUGGGGGCCUUCCUCUCCCCAAAUCUCUGCUCUUCUUGUUCUCUGGCCAGCCACAUGGAAGGACAAGGACAAUGCCUCAGCCUGGGCCAGUGAAGUGCAUCUGCUGGGUGAACAGAGAACCUCUGCAGCUACGUCCUCAGCUUAUCUUUUAUGCAUAGUGACUACACCCACUUCAAAUAUGUCAAUGUCCUGAAAUCUGACCAACCAGAUGAGUGCUCUUCUUCCUUGGGUCAGAAUGAAAGGCGAGGUGAGGGAGUCUUGAGAUCUUCUCAUCCUGCCUUUGAAAUCCCCCAAUACCCAGCACAGUGCUGAAGCCAGAGUAAGAGCAACAGGGAAUUGUUGAAUUAAUUUGAAGUCAAUACUGCUACCAUGAGACUGGGUCUGCCCCUCACCUCAGAAUCCAGGACGUGGAACUUCUAAACAGGGUGAGAAUUGACAUCAGAGUGCUGUCCACUUGGCUGCUAGGCAUCUCAUCCCUCUGCCUGCCUCUGUGCGAGUGCACUUAGACAGUGGAGCUCAGUAAAAUCCAACAACCCACGGGGCCUGGAGAACUCAGAGGAGAUGUCUGUCAAAGCUCACUCCCAGAGAUUCUGGCACUCUGGAGGACCACAGAGGAAACAGAUAUUGUGUGGCACCAUGUGAUGUAAGGGGGAAGAAAAGCCUGAGAAACAGAACAAACUGGGGAAAAAACACGGUGAAGCAGAAGUACACAGGCUGUGAUGGUGUAUGUGACCCUCUCUACUUAGAAGGAAGACAGUAAGAGAGGGGGAAGGGAGGAGGAGGAGGCUGCUAGGAUCUGCAUAGGACCCUGCAUGUCAAAAAGGACUUUUGGGGCUGGGUGAGGUGGCUCACGCCUGUAAUCCCAGCACUUUGGAAGGCUGAGGUGGGCAGAUCACGAGGUCAAGAGAUCGAGACCAUCCUGGCCAACAUGGCGAAACCCCGUUUCUACAAAAAAUAAAAAAUUUGCCUGGCGUGGUGGCAUGCACCUGUAGUCCCAGCUACUUGAGAGGCUGAGGCAGGAGAAUGGUGUGAACCCGGGAGGCGGAGGUUGCAGUGAGCUGAGAUCGCGCCACUGCACUCCAGCCUGGCUACAGAGUGAGACUCCAUCUCAAAAUAAAUAAAUAAAUAAAUAAAUAAAUAAAUAAAUAAAAAAAAUAAAAAGGACUUUGAGGAGAUGUGUUAAUCAAAGGAGCUGAAAUCCCUCAUUCGGGUCUGCCCUGCCAGGUGCUGGGCCCCUGCUCAGCUUGCCCCAAUCCUCUCUCCUGAAGCAGGUGGUCUCGCUUUCCCCGCAGCUGCUACCCAUGGUACCCAGUCAGUGAGGGAAUGCUGUUUGGCUCGCUGCUCUGUUUCGGGGGUAGAGGUUGGGUCAGGGGUGCCUCUCUCCCUCACUCUGGGGUCAAUUCUCAUCCUGCCUUGAGAUUCCAGGUCUGAACUCUGAAAUGGGGGACAGCUUCAUUCUUAUGAUACUGGGCCAAUAGUCAGGGGCCUGGGUUCCACUGCUGUGGCUAUCAGAAUGGGGUCUGCAGGUGGAUUUGUUCUUGUACAAGGAAUAGCCCUGUACAAGUGGGCAGGUGGAGGUGUUCAUGCGCACUCUGAAUAGAUGCUGGUGGCUGUUGGGAUGUCCUAGGUCACUGUGAGGUUCUGUGAUUGUGCUUUUGAAGUAGAUCAAGUAGGAUCCUAGUUAACUUUUGGCUUUUCCUUUGUCCUCCAAAUGUCUUUGGGGAUGGUAAUGUCUGUUCUACUGGUUUCCUGAAGAGUGAGCUGCCUUCUAAAUUUUAUAUAGUAAAAUCCUUAAGAUCAUUUAAAUUUCCCAUAUGGAACUUCGUAUUUUUGGAUCUCAACUGCAUGCUCCUUUCUUUCCCCUCCAAACAAAAGUCUCCUGUUUGAGUUUUUAAUGUCAGAACUUGAGGGGCUUACUCUUUAAGUAAGUGUAUUUGUAAUUUCUUGUAUUCACCUGGUUACUAAAGCUAUCACAGAUCAGAAACUUGGAAUACCAUGGUUUUUGGUCUUCAAAAUGCUUUCGUCAGCAUUAUUUCGUGCAAGCCUCACCUCCCCCACCUCCGGAAAGGAGGUUGGGUAGAUUUUUUAUUUUUAUCAUCAUUUUUCCACAGAUGGGAACAUCGAGGCACAGAUGGGCUGGGGCACACGUAGAGUCAGGGCAUAGCUGGGAUUAGAACCUGGAGUCUCCGCCAAAUGCUAUUCCCCAGAGACCUCAGCCAGGGAGCGAGGCGCUUCUCCAACGUCAGGGUGUAGAGUCCCGUCUUUGUCUUCUCAUCAGCCCAGAGCUGUGGCGCUGUGGGUGUAAUGCGCUUGGCACAGGGAAGCCAGGGAUUCCAGGAGCAGGAACCUCAGACUCAUGCCAGAGAUUGUCCUACAGGAGGGGUCACCUGGGGCCGGGGAUAUCUAACCCACAGAGAGAAAAGGGCCCCUGCAGGCUCUGCGCACCGGCGCCCGUGCAGCCCUCCCCACGGAUCACUGUUCCUGGACUGAAUGAAUUGCUCUAUGACCUACAGACUAGCAGUCCCUUCGGUGUUACGCCCUUCCUUCCACCUUCUCUCCCUUUUGUCACCCCG